GACGUAGGGCGCGAGCGUUGUCCGGAUUUAUUGGGCGUAAAGAGCUCGUAGGCGGCUUGUCGCGUCGACUGUGAAAACCCGCGGCUUAACUGCGGGACUGCAGUCGAUACGGGCAGGCUAGAGUAUGGCAGGGGAGACUGGAAUUCCUGGUGUAGCGGUGGAAUGCGCAGAUAUCAGGAGGAACACCGGUGGCGAAGGCGGGUCUCUGGGCCAUUACUGACGCUGAGGAGCGAAAGCGUGGGGAGCGAACAGG
rnacentral:rRNA from 1 species